AACGAACGCUGGCGGCAUGCCUAACACAUGCAAGUCGAACGAGACCUUCGGGUCUAGUGGCGCACGGGUGCGUAACACGUGGGAAUUUGCCUCGGGGUAUGGAAUAACUCAGGGAAACUUGAGCUAAUACCAUAUAAUGUCUUCGGACCAAAGAUUUAUCGCCCUGAGAUAAGCCCGCGUAGGAUUAGCUAGUUGGUGGGGUAAAGGCUCACCAAGGCGACGAUCCUUAGCUGGUCUGAGAGGACGACCAGCCACACUGGGACUGAGACACGGCCCAGACUCCUACGGGAGGCAGCAGUGGGGAAUUUUGGACAAUGGGCGGCAAGCCUGAUCCAGCAAUGCCGCGUGCAGGAUGAAGGCC
rnacentral:rRNA from 1 species